CCUACGGGAGGCAGCAGUGGGGAAUCUUGCGCAAUGGGCGAAAGCCUGACGCAGCCAUGCCGCGUGAAUGAUGAAGGUCUUAGGAUUGUAAAAUUCUUUCACCGAGGACGAUAAUGACGGUACUCGGAGAAGAAGCCCCGGCUAACUUCGUGCCAGCAGCCGCGGUAAUACGAAGGGGGCUAGCGUUGCUCGGAAUUACUGGGCGUAAAGGGAGCGUAGGCGGAUAGUUUAGUCAGAGGUGAAAGCCCAGGGCUCAACCUUGGAAUUGCCUUUGAUACUGGCUAUCUUGAGUACGGAAGAGGUAUGUGGAACUCCGAGUGUAGAGGUGAAAUUCGUAGAUAUUCGGAAGAACACCAGUGGCGAAGGCGACAUACUGGUCCGUUACUGACGCUGAGGCUCGAAAGCGUGGGGAGCAAACAGGAUUAGAUACCCUGGUAGUCCACGCUGUAAACGAUGAGUGCUAGUUGUCGGCAUGCAUGCAUGUCGGUGACGCAGCUAACGCAUUAAGCACUCCGCCUGGGGAGUACGGUCGCAAGAUUAAAACUCAAAGAUAGUAGCGNGAGAGAGCGACGACGACGACGACGGAGGAGG
rnacentral:rRNA from 1 species